ACGCCCGGUCUCAUUCCGAACCCGGAAGCUAAGCCCGUCCGCGCCGAUGGUACUGCAUGGGGGACCGUGUGGGAGAGUAGGUCACCGCCGAAC
rnacentral:rRNA from 1 species